UACAGAGGGGGCAAGCGUUGUUCGGAAUUACUGGGCGUAAAGGGCGCGUAGGCGGCCUUCUAAGUCGAACGUGAAAUCCCCGGGCUCAACCCGGGAACUGCGUCCGAUACUGGAAGGCUUGAAUCCGGGAGAGGGAUGCGGAAUUCCAGGUGUAGCGGUGAAAUGCGUAGAUAUCGGAAGGAACGCCGGUGGCGAAAGCGAGCUGCUGGAUCCCUCCUGACGCUGAGGCGCGAAAGCCAGGGGAGCAAACGGG
rnacentral:rRNA from 1 species